UGACGGUGUUCACUACUGCCUUGGCCACUGCCCCAGCGUCCCCUUCGUGGCUUAUGGACGCUUGUGACCCGCCGUUGAAUGCCAGGAAGCCGAAGAGGAGUAUGAAACCGCCCAGUGCUGCCAACUGUGGGGGUCAAGAAUGACCCCGGAGGACCUUCCCAGUGGGCCCAAAUCGACCGUAACGGGGCCCCAGGAUGACAGACCCCACCAGCGCAGCCACGCCCCCCGUCAGAUGCACCACGCCUGACCCUGCGAAGUCCUGGUAAGGAGUGCCCGCCAGCCAGCCGUCCUCCGACCACGCCCAGUGGGACACAAUCGGCACCACGGAGUAGAUGAGGUAGGCGUGGAAGGCGCAGCGCUCAGCCAUAGAACCAGACACGAUGGUGGCAGCGGUGGCGGCGAACACGAACUGAAAGAACCAGAAGGCCAAUCGCUCGUCCUCCACGCCCACGCCCGCCCACAUACUCGUCCCGCAGAAAGGGUUGCCACGCCCGAAAGCCAGAGCGUAACCCACCACCCAGUAUGCGAUGCCACCAAUGACUGUGGGUGCGUGAGUGGGUUACUCACACACGUCCAAGAUGUUCUUAAUGAGGAUGUUGGUGGUGUUCUUGGACCUCACAGCGCCCGCCUCCAGAAAGGCAAACCCGCACUGCAUAACUGGAACCAACACACCAGUUAGUAUUCAUCUCUUUAGCGCCAGUACGAGUAACACCGCAGCUCCACACACACACACACACACACACACUGCCACUACUUUCAAAAGGCUCUAUAGUUGAUGUUACCGCGUUUCAAGGACACUUUUGUGGUUUCUGGUGAUAAAUUGACUGUUUUCUUAAGGUUCUAGUGGCAUUUUAGCAAGGUUUGUAUAUUGUUAAAAGGGGAAAGGCUGUUUUUAAAAGGCUCUAUUGAUGUUGCGUGUUUCAAAGAGUGUUCUUUUCUGGUUUUGGUGAUAAAUUAACUGUUCUUAGGGUUCUAGUGGCAUUCUAGUAAGGUUUAUGUGUUGUUGAAAAGGAAGGAGUUGUUUUCAGAGGUUCUUGUUGAUGUUACGCAUUUCAAGGGUGUUUUUGUGGUUUUUGGUGAUAAAUUAAGUGUUUUCUUAGGUUUCUAGUGACAUUUUAGUAAGUGUAUGUAUUACUGACGGGAG